GAUGAACGCUGGCGGCGUGCCUAAUACAUGCAAGUCGAGCGAACGGACGAGAAGCUUGCUUCUCUGAUGUUAGCGGCGGACGGGUGAGUAACACGUGGAUAACCUACCUAUAAGACUGGGAUAACUUCGGGAAACCGAAGCUAAUACCGGAUAAUAUUUUGAACCGCAUGGUUCAAAAGUGAAAGACGGUCUUGCUGUCACUUAUAGAUGGAUCCGCGCUGCAUUAGCUAGUUGGUAAGGUAACGGCUUACCAAGGCAACGAUGCAUAGCCGACCUGAGAGGGUGAUCGGCCACCCUGGAACUGAGACACGGUCCAGACGCCUACGGGAGGCAGCAGUAGGGAAUCUUCCGCAAUGGGCGAAAGCCUGACGGAGCAACGCCGCGUGAGUGAUGAAGGUCUUCGGAUCGUAAAACUCUGUUAUUAGGGAAGAACAUAUGUGUAAGUAACUGUGCACAUCUUGACGGUAACUAAUCAGAAAGCCACGGCUAACUACGUG
rnacentral:rRNA from 1 species